GAUGAAGAACGCAGCGAAAUGCGAUAAGUAAUGUGAAUUGCAGAAUUCAGUGAAUCAUCGAGUCUUUGAACGCACAUUGCGCCCCCUGGUAUUCCGGGGGGCAUGCCUGUCCGAGCGUCAUUGCUGCCCUCAAGCACGGCUUGUGUGUUGGGCCCCGCCCCCCGGCUCCCGGGGGGUGGGCCCGAAAGGCAGCGGCGGCACCGCGUCCGGUCCUCGAGCGUAUGGGGCUUCGUCACCCGCUCCGUAGGCCCGGCCGGCGCCCGCCGGCGACCCCCCUCAAUCUUUUCAGGUUGACCUCGGAUCAGGUAGGGAUACCCGCUGAACUUAAGCAUAUCAAUAAGCGGAGGA
rnacentral:misc_RNA from 1 species